UGAGACCCGUGGGCUUUAAUCUUGAAUUUGAACAGGUAAGUCACGAGUAGGCCUUGAAGAUGAUCAAAGUGGGUAGUACACGUGCUAGGAGUAGGCUAUGACACGUGAUAGGAAUAGGGUCACAAGACUAUGAACAAGUCUUUAAGUCCGGCUAAUAGGGGCUGGUCGUAUAGAUUGGAUGUAGGACCCAAAAACAAAAAGAUGUAGCCUUAACAAAUUAAAAAAAAGAGGGAAGAGAUGUGACAAGACUUGAGGAGGCUAUAAUGUAUGCUAGCUGGACGUUGAAAUUGUGGAUGUAGGCUUUGUAGAUGUAGCAAAGAGCUAUGCUUGUAGAUGUAGGCCUGUGGCUAUGAACAAAAAGUAGGACAGAUAAAUAAAAGAGAGUAGACUGUGAACAAUAGGACCGAAAAAAGAGAGUAGGCUUUUCUUCUUCAAAAAAAUUGCUGUUUCUUCUUCUUCAACCGAACUUCUCUUCUUCUUCAACAAUGGUCUGGACCGAUGGCUUCUCUCUACUCUUCAAAAAAAUCUUAAUCCACCAGCUCUGAUACCAGUGUAUGAAAACAGAGAAGAAGGAAGAACAAAUUUUGAGGGGGGUUCCGCUAAUGGAUCAAUGCAGAGGCAUAUAUCUCAAGAAAGAUGGCAUCAGAAAUGCACGGUAUACUAUCUCCUGGCAGAUUGGAGAAUUUACCGUCACUGCAAGUAUAUCCAACACACUACGGUAGACAAUUACGACAUUGAUUGCUUGUGUCAAAUUACUAAAGUACUCCACUAGGAAGAACCAACAAAGCUGUAAUUUGUUGAAACUAGAGGCUGAACUAGAGGAAGGAAGAGAUAUGAUACAAUGAAAUUGAAAAUCCAGUUCUGUUUGAGACCGAAGUGCAAGCAAUUUGGUGGAGAGGUCUGAAUCAAUGGAGACAGAGGCGGAGGAUGGCGACUGUGAUGGAUUGCCUGGACAUGGUCCACAAGUCAUUGGAAUAUGCAUGGUCCAUAUUGUCAAGAAAUGGAACUAUAUUAAGAUGAUGGAACUGCUUCCAAGUGUGAUUAAGAGAGAGGAACAGAGGAACUGUUGCAAGGUUCCAUAUGUGAUUUAAGGAUAUUUUGUGUACCCUUGAAGUCCAGUUCUUGUCAUCAUCUUUACUGCUUGAAUUCUCGAUAAAUUCAGAACUAACAUUGUCUAUGUUGCUUGAACAACACUUGCAUUUCGCAUCUAGCAUUUUCAUCCAUUGUACAUGGUCAAGUCUCCUUGUUGAUUUUGUUGAAACCCUAAGACAAGGAUAUUGGUUGGAGCCAUGACAUCCUCUAAUUACAAAGAGGAAGCAAUAUUGUCUUUGUUGGGAAAGUUUAGUUGUAGGCUUGAAAGGUCGAGGAGUAGGAGGAGAUAGUGAUGCACAACUAAUACAUGAAGCCAAAUAGUUGUUGCGGAUGCUAGACAUUGUACAAAUUUUUUUUAUGAAAAGAAGGAGAGACCUCGAGAAAGCAAUAUGCAAUUUUGAGGAAUUUGAGCAUAAUACACAAGCAUAUGAAAUAUUUGAGAGACUUUGAACUACUAGAGAUUCCUAAUAUGAAUAAAGAGUUUUUUUAUAACUAGAAAUUCUUAUAGAUCCGUGGUUGAACCUGUCAAUUUUACUUAUUGGUGAAGGAAUAGUCGUUAAAAGCUGACAAAAAAGGAGGGAGCCCCAAAAAUAUUUGAACUUAUGGAAAAACAAGAUGCUAUAACAUGAAUAUAGAGUUGAGUUGUCACAUUGAAAGGGGAAUCCAAAAUAAAAUAAUAGGUCAUUUUUUUAUCAAGAUGCAAUUUUGUCAAUAAUGGAUUUUUAUUUUUAGAAAUAUACCAUGUUUCUUAGAAAUUAGAACAAUGCGGUAAAGGUUUCAUGUUCUAAGGGAAACCUGAACAAAAGCUAAUACGAAUUGCAAAGCAAAAAACUCGUUCAAAGUGUGACUGGAAACCUUUCUCUGGAAAUCUAUCUUAGAUUCUUUCGAGAAAAGGUUAUAUAUGUUGCAAAGCAGAAAUCUAUCUAUAGGAGGAAAACUAGCCCUAUAAAUUUUAUUCUUUCUUCUCUCUCCUUAUACUUUAUGUCCUUUCUUAAACUCCCUAGAUGGCUUAUCAAGGCAAUGAAAAAAUGUUAGACAGGAAUAAAGAUGAAUGAAGAUUAAAAUCACUUGUUACAUGGGAUAAUGUUUAUAAAUUCAAGAAAGAAGGGGUCUUGAUGUGUUGAACCUAUUGAACUUCAAUUCUGCAAUCCUUUCUAAAUAGACAUGAAAUCUCUUAGUAGCAAUUCUCUUGUUUGAAAAGUCCUCACUUCUCUUUGUUCUGAGAAUCAACCUAACCUUAGUUGCACAUCUCCUAUACUGCCUUGACAUCUAAAUUUUGGCAUUUGACAUUAAUUCUAUUAACCAAGCUUCAACAUGCUCCGCGCAAUAGAAGCUAAGGGAGGGCGCUACUAUUAGAUAUUGGGAGGAAAAAUGGUUGAGUAAUUACUAUUUGAAGAGUUUAUUCCCCUUGACUUAUAACUUGGCAUUCUCUUAAUAAUGUUAGCCAAAGAACAGGGGAUUGAGUCACUCCUGGAAAAAAAAAAGAUAAAGGAGCAAACUUCUAAUCAGUUUUUUUUUUUUUUUUUUUGGGUCGCUGUUGGUUUAUUUUGUUACUUUGUUUGUGGGUUUAUUAUGGAUGCUUAGAGUUGGGCGUGUCAGUUUUGAUACUUUAAGUUUCUCUCUGUUUUCCUAGGGUUAUAUAUUGACGAUUAGCAAGAGACACCCGAAUCAUACAGUUGUUGUGUUACAAGUGACGACAAGGUCGUCUCCUUGUUCAUCGUUUGGUAUCUGUUUGUUUUUCUCUUGCUUUGAUAUCAAUAUCUAAUCCUAUUGAAGCCUUUAUAUAAAUGCAUUUUGAGUAGUGCUCCUCGCCCUAUUUUUAUCUUCCAAAAAAGGGAAAAAAAAUGAUUAGGAUUCUCAUUAGAGUUCUUAUUUGUUUUAUUUGGUCAAUAUGACAAGCUACCGGAGUUCCAUCUAAGCAGAAAUACAAAAGAAGUUGGAUUUAUGACCGUUAACUCAAAACAAAUACAAAAGAAACGCAAAAUAAAAAAA